rnacentral:rRNA from 1 species
CCUACGGGAGGCACCAGUGGGGAAUAUUGGACAAUGGGCGCAAGCCUGAUCCAGCAAUGCCGCGUGGGUGAAGACGGCCUGCGGGUUGUAAAGCCCUUUAGGCGGGGAGGAACGACGGGACGUUAAUACCGUUUCGAAGUGACGUUACCCGCGGAAUAAGCACCGGCUAACUCCGUGCCAGCAGCCGCGGUAAUACGGAGGGUGCGAGCGUUAAUCGGAAUUACUGGGCGUAAAGCGUGCGUAGGCGGAGAGGUCAGUCGGCCGUGAAAGCCCCGGGCUCAACCUGGGAAUGGCGGUCGAGACGGCGUGUCUGGAGUGGGCUAGAGGAUCGUGGAAUUCCGGGUGUAGCGGUGAAAUGCGUAGAGAUCCGGAGGAACACCGAUGGCGAAGGCAGCGGUCUGGGGCCACACUGACGCUGAGGCACGACGGCGUGGGGAGCAAACAGGAUUAGAUACCCCGGUAGUC